rnacentral:rRNA from 1 species
GACGAACGCUGGCGGCGUGCUUAACACAUGCAAGUCGAACGGAAAGGCCCUGCUUUUGUGGGGUGCUCGAGUGGCGAACGGGUGAGUAACACGUGAGUAACCUGCCCUUGAAUUUGGGAUAACUUCAGGAAACUGGGGCUAAUACCGGAUAGGAGCUCCUGCUGCAUGGUGGGGGUUGGAAAGUUUCGGCGGUGGGGGAUGGACUCGCGGCUUAUCAGCUUGUUGGUGGGGUAGUGGCUUACCAAGGCUUUGACGGGUAGCCGGCCUGAGAGGGUGACCGGCCACAUUGGGACUGAGAUACGGCCCAGACUCCUACGGGAGGCAGCAGUGGGGAAUAUUGCACAAUGGGCGGAAGCCUGAUGCAGCAACGCCGCGUGCGGGAUGACGGCCUUCGGGUUGUAAACCGCUUUCGCCUGUGACGAAGCGUGAGUGACGGUAAUGGGUAAAGAAGCACCGGCUAACUACGUG